rnacentral:rRNA from 1 species
UACGUAGGGUGCGAGCGUUAAUCGGAAUUACUGGGCGUAAAGCGUGCGCAGGUGGUUGUGUAAGUCAGAUGUGAAAUCCCCGGGCUCAACCUGGGAACUGCAUUUGAGACUGCACGGCUAGAGGAUGGCAGAGGGGGGUAGAAUUCCACGUGUAGCGGUGAAAUGCGUAGAGAUGUGGAGGAAUACCGAUGGCGAAGGCAGCCCCCUGGGCUAUUUCUGACACUCAUGCACGAAAGCGUGGGGAGCAAACAGG